AUUGAACGCUGGCGGCAGGCUUAACACAUGCAAGUCGAGCGGAGAGAGGUAGCUUGCUACUGAUCUUAGCGGCGGACGGGUGAGUAAUGCUUAGGAAUCUGCCUAUUAGUGGGGGACAACAUUUCGAAAGGAAUGCUAAUACCGCAUACGUCCUACGGGAGAAAGCAGGGGAUCUUUGGACCUUGCGCUAAUAGAUGAGCCUAAGUCGGAUUAGCUAGUUGGUGGGGUAAAGGCCUACCAAGGCGACGAUCUGUAGCGGGUCUGAGAGGAUGAUCCGCCACACUGGGACUGGGACACGGCCCAGACUCCUACGGGAGGCGGCAGUGGGGAAUAUUGGACAAUGGGCGCAAGCCUGAUCCAGCCAUGCCGCGUGUGUGAAGAAGGCCUUAUGGUUGUAAAGCACUUUAAGCGAGGAGGAGGCUACUUUAGUUAAUACCUAGAGAUAGUGGACGUUACUCGCAGAAUAAGCACCGGCUAACUCUGUGCCAGCAGCCGCCGUAACAC
rnacentral:rRNA from 1 species